UGGGGAAUAUUGGACAAUGGGGGAAACCCUGAUCCAGCAAUGCCGCGUGGGUGAAGAAGGCCUGCGGGUUGUAAAGCCCUUUCAGCUGGGAGGAAAAGCGUUCGGUUAAUACCCGAGCGUAUUGACGUUACCAGCAGAAGAAGCACCGGCUAACUCCGUGCCAGCAGCCGCGGUAAUACGGAGGGUGCAAGCGUUAAUCGGAAUCACUGGGCGUAAAGGGCACGCAGGCGGUUGGAUAAGUCGGGUGUGAAAGCCCCGGGCUCAACCUGGGAAUGGCAUUCGAUACUGUCCAGCUAGAGUCUGGUAGAGGGAAGUGGAAUUUCCGGUGUAGCGGUGAAAUGCGUAGAUAUCGGAAGGAACACCAGUGGCGAAGGCGACUUCCUGGACCAAGACUGACGCUGAGGUGCGAAAGCGUGGGUAGCAAACA
rnacentral:rRNA from 1 species